GACGAACGCUGGCGGCGUGCCUAAUACAUGCAAGUAGAACGCUGAAGAGAGGAGCUUGCUCUUCUUGGAUGAGUUGCGAACGGGUGAGUAACGCGUAGGUAACCUUCCUUGUAGCGGGGGAUAACUAUUGGAAACGAUAGCUAAUACCGCAUAACAAUGGAUGACCCAUGUCAUUUAUUUUAAAGGGGCAAAUGCUCCACUACAAGAUGGACCUGCGUUGUAUUAGCUAGUAGGUGAGGUAACGGCUCACCUAGGCGACGAUACAUAGCCGACCUGAGAGGGUGAUCGGCCACACUGGGACUGAGACACGGCCCAGACUCCUACGGGAGGCAGCAGUAGGGAAUAUUCGGCAAUGGGGGCAACCCUGACCGAGCAACGCCGCGUGAGUGAAGAAGGUUUUCGGAUCGUAAAGCUCUGUUGUAAGUAAAGAACGAGUGUGAGAGUGGAAAGUUCACACUGUGACGGUAGCUUACCAGAAAGGGACGGCUAACUACGU
rnacentral:rRNA from 1 species